rnacentral:rRNA from 1 species
UACGUAGGGGGCGAGCGUUGUCCGGAUUUAUUGGGCGUAAAGAGCGUGUAGGCGGCCAGGUAGGUCUGCUGUGAAAACUCGAGGCUCAACCUCGAGACGUCGGCGGAAACCAUCUGGCUAGAGUCCGGGAGAGGAGAGUGGAAUUCCUGGUGUAGCGGUGAAAUGCGCAGAUAUCAGGAGGAACACCAGCGGCGAAGGCGGCGCUCUGGGCCGGUACUGACACUGAGGAGCGAAAGCGUGGGUAGCAAACAGG